GCGGCUCUNUGGUCUGUCACUGACGCUGAGGCUCGAAAGCGUGGGUAGCGAACAGGAUUAGAUACCCUGGUAGUCCACGCCGUAAACGAUGAGUGCUAGGUGUUAGGCCCUUUCCGGGGCUUAGUGCCGGAGCUAACGCAAUAAGCCCUCCGCCUGGGGAGUACGACCGCAAGGUUGAAACUCAAAGGAAUUGACGGGGGCCCGCACAAGCGGUGGAGCAUGUGGUUUAAUUCGAAGCAACGCGAAGAACCUUACCAGGUCUUGACAUCCCGAUGCUAUUCUUAGAGAUAGGAAGUUACUUCGGUACAUCGGAGACAGGUGGUGCAUGGUUGUCGUCAGCUCGUGUCGUGAGAUGUUGGGUUAAGUCCCGCAACGAGCGCAACCCUUAUUGUUAGUUGCCAUCAUUAAGUUGGGCACUCUAGCGAGACUGCCGGUAAUAAACCGGAGGAAGGUGGGGAUGACGUCAAAUCAUCAUGCCCCUUAUGACCUGGGCUACACACGUGCUACAAUGGUCGGUACAACGAGUUGCGAGCCGGUGACGGCAAGCUAAUCUCUGAAAGCCGAUCUCAGUUCGGAUUGGAGGCUGCAACUCGCCUCCAUGAAGUCGGAAUCGCUAGUAAUCGCGGAUCAGCACGCCGCGGUGAAUACGUUCCCGGGCCUUGUACACACCGCCCGUCACACCACGAGAGUUUGUAACACCCGAAGUCGGUGAGGUAACCU
rnacentral:rRNA from 1 species